CAGUCGUGUCGGGUUCUUCGAACGUCGAUUAUCUGGCAAAACGGAAUCUCUUAUGCGUUCGCUACUUAGUAUUUUUAAAUAGCAUAAAUAAGUGUAAAACUGUAAAAUUCUUGUUUCUUACCAAAUUAUAAGUGAAUCAUCAAUCAUCAAUCAAUAUUAUCUAUUUAAAGUUCGCGACGUACUGCUAUACCUAUUUCUGAAUUAAAUUAGUUCAUUGAUUCAAUUACACGUUUUCUCAAUCUUAGUGCUGAUACCGUGAAAAGUAUUAUUUUUCAUUUGUACAAAAUUGAUUAUUGGUUAAAACUCAUUUUCUUCAAAACUUUCCUUGAAGAAGUUAUAAUAAUUAGGUUCAUCACCAGGUGAACAAGAGGUCUAACAAAAUUAUAAAAAUAAAAUAACAAUAUAGUUUCACAAAUUUGUUUGCAUCCAUAAAUUUUUCUUAAGAACUUUUAUACAAAUAUCAAGUUUUAUUUAUCGGCCGUCGUUCGCAGCAUCAUGUACAAAUCGUAUAAUAAUUUCAAUAAAUAAUAUGUUACGUUUUUCCAACUAUUGCAAUAUACUACUAUACACCGAAGUAAGUUUUUGGUGAACGAUGGGAAAAAUACAUACGCCGUACAAUAAAAUGGCUUUUGAGCCCGCAUAAUUAUGAGUAGUAUAUACAAUCGAAGAUCAUAAUCCUUCAUUGCCCAGUUCAAGUUGUAGACUAUGUCAGCUAAUGAUCUUGUCUAGUCAAAAAAUAUUAUAAACAUGCACUUUCUAAUGAAUUGAAUACAUUGAUCUUUAUAAAAACAGUCGAAAUUCACCUCUUCUGUAAUUCUUUCUGCAAAAUACAAAAAAAAAAAAAUUGAAAAACUGUUAUUAACAGCAUAGUCGCGUAGAUACCUGCGUCUAAAUACGACUCAUCUUUAACGGCCUAGAAUAAAUGAAAGUAAAUUGUAUAAAAUAUCGUUUAUUAUAUGCUAAUAGCCAUAACAUGGAUUAAAAAUAAAUGUAACAUUACUGCGCUUGUACCGAUAACAUUAACGCACAUAUUAACUGAUGAUAAAAGCAUGACAAAAAAAUCAUGGGACUAAAAAUAUCUUCAGUCAGCAUACAGAUCCUAAAACAUAUUUUAAUAAUUGUUUAUUCCGAAUGAAAAACAGAAAUAUUGCACAUGGCUUUGUCAAAACGUAACUUUAUAAGUUUUCUAUGUCUCUUUAUUAACCCUAUUAAAAUUUCCUUGCUUUUUGAACCUUCAAUAUUGAAUGUGCUCUGAAUAUCAUGUUUUAAUACCUAGACGAAUGAACUGCAGAAUUUUAAAGAAUUUAGCAAACAGUUUAGUAAAUUAAAACAAUCUUAAAUUGUAAGCAGAGGUGAGUUGUUAUUUGAGUAAAUAAAGUAUCGCUAUCGACCCAGAAAA